UCCCUUUCUGAUAGGACUCAGGAAAUACCCCUCUGUAUAUUUAGUCAUUUCAUCUCUGCCUAAGAAGCAGAGCAUGCUGGUGGCUGUCAAAGUGGAUAUAGAAAAGAAGACCAAAAAGUCAUCUUAUGUUUUUGUUAUGAUGACUAGAAGUUGUAAAAAUAUACUUCAAGAAAAACUGAGGAUUUGCAGACAGCAUGACUCUCAAGGUUGGGGCUCUUGAAAACUCACAACAGUUAUGAAACACAGAAUGAAGUCAUAAGGCUUGCCAGCACAGAAUGAGUAAAGUUUAUACAAGAAUUUUUUCUCAUCAAAGGAGCCUUGACUUGGAAACUCAAUUUGGACAAGAAAUAAGCAUUAAAGUUGCAUAAGAAAAUCACAUCAGGAAAAACUGACAUUCAGUGAAAAAAGCUUUGGUGAUGGAGAGAAAAAAUCUACCUUCAUCUCUCUGGAUUUUUUGAGCUAUGUUUUUUGUUUCUUUGUUUGUUUGUUCCUUUACUCUAAUUUUUUUUUUUCUGUUUUUGGCCAAACUCUUCUUGCCUUCUCAUUUAAUUCAGCUGUUUUAUUGUUUGCUUGUUUUUAGUAUCCCUAUAUUUCAGCAAACUGUAUCCCACAAUGUUAUUAACUUAGUAUGUUUAUAUGCUAUCUUCUCUACUCAUUAUCAAGAACUAAUCACACACUAGUCAUUGUUUUUGUUUCUAAGUUAUUAUAAGGAAUAGUUAUGAAGUUUUAUGUCACAAAAUUUUUAUAUACCUAGGCUCAUAAACCGAUGCAAAUCUUUGUUUAUCUUACAGUGAGCAAUAUGUGCAUUCAAAUUCUAUAAACAGGUUUAUUUACACUUCAGAGGAUCUGAAAAGAAAGAAACAUUUAUUUGGCAGAAGUCCUGUUUUAAGAUGGGUUUUAUUUUCUUCCACUGUCUGAACAUCACAGAGUUUGGUGCAAUACCUUUACUAUUUGAGUAGUUCGUGGCAGCAUCUUAUACACCUCUCAAAAAGCUUACUAAAUGGAGGAAAUACAGAUACCACUGCAAAGCCAAAUCAGAGUGAAAUGUCAUUGGAGUUUUCAUACUGAAGAUAGAAAAUGUUGGUUUUAGGCAUAAUAUUUAUUCCCUACAAUUCACUUUCUAAAUAUGAUCAUUUUCUUGAUCAUUGCAUUUCAAUAGUAUAAAUUGAAUUUAUUUCUACCUUGAAGAGUCAUAAUGAGACUGCUGGCAAACUCCAGGCAUUUAUAUUUCCCAUAGAACAACAAUCCCAAGACAGGGUUACUACUCCUCUCCUACAGUGUUAGUCAACUCAAUGUAAAUAGAAGCUCUCAAUUCAACAGGGCUACUCCACUAUUUUGCGAUGGAUCAUUUGGUUUCUGACCACAUGAGACUGUUCUCAGGAAAAGCAAUCUCUAAUUACAUGGAUCAGAAUGGGCUUAUGCCAGGAAAUAGCCUGUGCCUCAAAAAUGA